CUUCUGGGCUGUUAGGAGCAUUGAGGGGAGAGUGGACCUGGAGCCGCGGUCCACACGCACACGUGGACUACGGGAGGGGCUCCUAAGUGGAGCUGGAAAGGCCACGGGAGGAUGCAAUUCCGCUGAAUAUCCUGGGAAAGCGGCCUUUCACUGUCCCUCACUCCUUCCAAGAUGCUGACUUUUAACAACCAGCCACUUUCAAGUGGGAAUAAGUGAGAGGAAGAAAGAGAAAAGAACAUUAGCUGCUGUCUAAGGAAGGGUCAGAGAGGCGCAGCAACUUGUCCGGAGUCCCACAGCUCCAAGAGUGAGGCGGCGUUUGGACCUGACCUUGCCAGGCUGCAGCCCGUCUCGGCCCCCGACCCCUGGCUGCCUGAGAGGCUCAUCCCCUCAUGGUGCAAAAUGGCUGCUGUCGAGCCAGGCAUCCUGUCACAAUGCCCAAUGGGAGCAGAGUGAAUAUCCUUUCCUCACGGCCGUGUGUAAAGACGAGGAAAGUUCCCCGAAGCUGCCAGCACACUCCCCUGCUCGCUAGCACUCUUCACUUGACCCUCCUGGGCCAGUUGUGAACGACGGGGGUCGGGAGUCCCAGGCUUGGCCUAACUAAGCCAUGUCCACUCGGAGGUGGGGGUGGGACCAAG
rnacentral:lncRNA from 1 species